rnacentral:lncRNA from 1 species
GGGCUUGGGAAGCCUUCCUCAGCAGUGAUCCAAAGGCCUAGGACAGAGGAGAGGGGGUGCAGACAAGAAGGAACAAGGCCUCAGCCUCCCAUUCUUGGCAAAUCUAAACCUGGCAACCAAGAUGAUGAUAUUCUCAUUUCACAGAAAAGUCUACUUUUCUCAGCUGGGGAGCAAGUGUCAGGAGCACUGGGGCCAGACUCCCUCCCCAACCUGGCCCUGCUCAUUUUCCCCCGUUGCCUGAGGACCCUGGGGAUGGAGGAAGAGCAUCAGACCAGGGGCAGGGUCUAUUCUGGGCCAGCACGUGGAGCGGAGGCAGAGCUGGCCUCAGGCCCUUGCCUGAUCCUCCCUCCCCUUAUUCCCUUGGCAGCAGACACAUGACAUAGAAAUCACUGGUUCCACCAAAUACUGCACAGCCCAGAUGCUGCUGGCCUGAUCAGGGCCAAGCUGAGUCACCACUUUAGGAUACGAUUCUUGCUUUUUGGACUAUGAAUGCACCCUCAUCACCCCAUGCUCAACCCCCAACUGAAGACUGAGGUUACAGCAGAUCCGUGGAUAUCACAGGGUGAUGAGGCACUAGGCCACCUGCUGCCUAUUCCCUGGCACUUCAUUCUUCUGAUAAUGGAGUAUGAGAGAGAAUGGGACAUGAGGUGGACCCCGAUCAGGCAUGUCAUAGACAGGAGGGACACAUACUACCACUGGGCAUGGUGCCCUAGAUAAUGACCCAGAGGGAGGUUGUAGGUCUCGACCCUGGGGUCCAAGCUGAUGAGGAAAGGCAAGAAAAAAAGAAGGGGCCAGGCAUGAGCCACGACACCCGGCCCAAAACUGCAAUUUAUAGUGCACUGAGCAGCAAAGAAAAGUGACGAGAGCACCACUUACGAUCUCUGUUCCAACAACUCGACUCUGCUGUUGGAACCCAAAAGCAGACACAGGCACCAUGUAACAGAUGAACCAGGCUACAUUUCAAUAAAACUCCAUGUCUGCACACUGAAAUUAGAAUUUUAGAUAACUUUAAUGUGUCACAAAAUAGCCUCCAUUCGAUUUUUUUUCAUUGUGGUUCACGCCUGUAAUCCUGGCCCUUUGGGAGGCCAAGGCAAGAAGAUGACUUAAACCCAGGAGUUGGAGACGCAGCCUGGGCAACAUCAGGAGACCCUAUCUCUACAAAAAAAAUUUUAAAUUAGCUGAGUGUGGUGGUGCGCACCUGUAGUCCCUACCCUUUGGGAGGCUGAGGCAGGAGGAUCAUUUGAGGCCAGGAGCUCACUGCACUCCAGCCUGGACAACAGAGGGAGACCAUAUCUUGGAAAAAGAGAGAGAGAGAGAGAAAAAGAGAGAUGGAGGGAGAAGGAG